rnacentral:tRNA from 1 species
GAAUUUAGGUUAAUACA